ensembl:ncRNA M01G4.3 ncRNA
AAACGAGCACUUUGGCGUCAAUUUCGUUCGAUUCGACGGCUUCGAAAGCUAAAUAAACCGGCAAAACAAAAUUUGUUC